rnacentral:rRNA from 1 species
UUGGAGGGCAAGUCUGGUGCCAGCAGCCGCGGUAAUUCCAGCUCCAAUAGCGUAUAUUAAAGUUGUUGCAGUUAAAAAGCUCGUAGUUGAAUUUCGAGAUCAGUACGCUGGUCGUGCCUUCGGUAUGCACUGGUGUCACUGGUUUCUCCCUUCUGAAGAACCGUCAUGCCAUUCAGUUGGUGUGGCGGGGAAUCAGGACUGUUACUUUGAAAAAAUUAGAGUGUUUAAAGCAGGCUCGCGCUUGAAUACAUUAGCAUGGAAUAAUGAAAUAGGACGUUUGACCCUAUUUUGUUGGUUUCUAGGAUCGACGUAAUGAUUAAUAGGGAUAGUUGGGGGCAUUAGUAUUCGAUUGUCAGAGGUGAAAUUCUUGGAUUUAUUGAAGACUAACUAUUGCGAAAGCAUUUGCCAAGGAUGUUUUCAUUAAUCAAGAACGAAAGUUAGGGGAUCGAAGACGAUCAGAUACCGUCGUAGUCUUAACCAUAAACUAUGCCGACUAGGGAUCGGAUGAUGUUAAUUUUUUAAUGACUCAUUCGGCGCCUUACGGGAAAC